rnacentral:rRNA from 1 species
AAAACAUCUUUUCUUGAUUUUAUUUGAAAUUUGACCUGCCCAAUGAUUAUUUUAAUGGCCGCGGUAUAUUGACCGUGCAAAGGUAGCAUAAUCAUUAGUUUAUUAAUUGUGGACUUGUAUGAAUGGUUGGACGAAAUAUUUACUGUCUCAUAUUAAUUUAUUGAAUUUAAUUUUUUUGUUAGAAAGCUUAAAUUUUUUUGGAGGACGAGAAGACCCUAUAGAUCUUUAUUAUUUUAUUUUUAAUUUGUUUUAGUUUAUUUUUAAUUUAUUUUUAUAAUUUUUUGGUUGGGGUGACAUGGGGAUUAAAUAAACUCUUUUAUAUUAUUUGCAAUUAUUUUUGUUUAAUUGAUCUUUUAUUAUUGUUUAAUAGAUUAGAUACCUUAGGGAUAACAGCGUAAUUCUUUUUGAGAGUUCAUAUCGACAAUGGAGAUUGCGACCUCGAUGUUGGAUUAAGAAUAGAUUUGAAUGUAGAUGUUCAAAAACUAGGUCUGUUCGACCUUUAAAUUCUUACA